UACGUAGGGGGCGAGCGUUGUCCGGAAUCAUUGGGCGUAAAGAGCGUGUAGGCGGCCAGGUAGGUCCGUUGUGAAAACUCGAGGCUCAACCUCGAGACGUCGACGGAAACCAUCUGGCUAGAGUCCGGAAGAGGAGAGUGGAAUUCCUGGUGUAGCGGUGAAAUGCGCAGAUAUCAGGAAGAACACCCGUGGCGAAGGCGGCUCUCUGGGACGGUACUGACGCUGAGACGCGAAAGCGUGGGGAGCGAACAGG
rnacentral:rRNA from 1 species